rnacentral:rRNA from 1 species
CAAGCAGCGGAGCAUGUGGUUUAAUUCGAAGCAACGCGAAGAACCUUACCUAGACUUGACAUCUCCUGCAUUACUCUUAAUCGAGGAAGUCCCUUCGGGGACAGGAUGACAGGUGGUGCAUGGUUGUCGUCAGCUCGUGUCGUGAGAUGUUGGGUUAAGUCCCGCAACGAGCGCAACCCUUAUUGUUAGUUGCCAUCAUUAAGUUGGGCACUCUAGCGAGACUGCCCGGGUUAACCGGGAGGAAGGUGGGGAUGACGUCAAAUCAUCAUGCCCCUUAUGUCUAGGGCUACACACGUGCUACAAUGGUCGGUACAAUAAGACGCAAGCCCGCGAGGGGGAGCAAAACUGGAAAACCGAUCUCAGUUCGGAUUGUAGGCUGAAACUCGCCUACAUGAAGCUGGAGUUGCUAGUAAUCGCGAAUCAGCAUGUCGCGGUGAAUACGUUCCCGGGCCUUGUACACACC